CCUACGGGAGGCUGCAGUGGGGAAUAUUGCACAAUGGGCGCAAGCCUGAUGCGGCCAUGCCGCGUGUGUGAAGAAGGCCUUCGGGUUGUAAAGCACUUUCAGCGGGGAGGAAGGCGGUGAGGUUAAUAACCUCAUCGAUUGACGUUACCCGCAGAAGAAGCACCGGCUAACUCCGUGCCAGCAGCCGCGGUAAUACGGAGGGUGCAAGCGUUAAUCGGAAUUACUGGGCGUAAAGCGCACGCAGGCGGUCUGUCAAGUCGGAUGUGAAAUCCCCGGGCUCAACCUGGGAACUGCAUUCGAAACUGGCAGGCUAGAGUCUUGUAGAGAGGGGUAGAAUUCCAGGUGUAGCGGUGAAAUGCGUAGAGAUCUGGAGGAAUACCGGUGGCGAAGGCGGCCCCCUGGACAAAGACUGACGCUCAGGUGCGAAAGCGUGGGGAGCAAACAGGAUUAGAUACCCCAGUAGUC
rnacentral:rRNA from 1 species